UUUUACGAGGAAAAACUAUUUCCUCGUAAAAGCCACGUCAAUUUACAUCGUCUUUACGACGAAUAUUUUUUGUCGUUACCUUACGACGAAAUAACGAUGCUUUUCUUUCUCAACGUACUUUCCUCGCAAAAUCAACGUUUCUUUACGAGGAUUAUUUUUCCUCGUUAAACUUCCUCGGUAAAGAUACGUUUUCUUGUAGUGUCUCUGAAGCCCUAGUUAUUUGAUUAAGAAAUAAUCAUAGCUCUAGCUUCUCAUUAGCUAAUCAUAAGAGCACCUCCAAUGGAGGCUCUUAAGCAAAGGUUCUUUAAGAAAGUCCAAAAAAUAAAUCAAAAAGAAAAAAAGUGAUGAUAACCGGUUCUUAAAAGAGAGGUUUUAGAAUUGGUAAAAACAUGUGUCCUUUUUUUAUUGGUUGUGUGUGUCUCUCUCUCUCUUUCUCGCCUCUUUCUCUCUUUCUCGUCUCUUUAUCUCUUCUUCAUCAUGUUUAAACCUCUAACCUUAAUUCUCUCUUCUUCAUCAUGUUUGAUUUCAUGUGUAUUAUCUCAAUUUAGGGAUUGUGAUGUUCUGGUUUGGGAAUUUAGGUUUUUUCAAAUUUGAGAAUCAUCUAAGAACAGAAACAUUCACACUUUUCUUGAGAGAAUCAUUGGUGGUUUCCCUGAAAAUCUUUAAAAAAAGAGACAUUUACACUUGCCUCUAUAGGAUUAACUCUUUCGAUCAAGGCACCAAGAAGGUAUGGAUAGAUAAAAGAACCGGUGGUGUUCAAAAGAAUACUUCUUUUCUCCCUAAUCUAUGUGUUGGUUUGAAUACCUUAGGUAAGCUAUUCGAAACUAUACUCUUUUCCUUCUUAAUUGGUUUGUUGGUUAGUUUCUCUUCGAAAUAUAUUAUCACCUUGUUUCUUUUGGUUGAACUCCUUUGUACAAUUAAAUUCCGUCGUGUUCUGAUCAUAUUUGUGAUAUAUAUGGGAAGGGAUUCAUUAUGAUAACAUGUUAUGCUCUAACAUUCAUGUUUUUCAGUUAAAGUUAACAUUUGUUUGCCUGGUACAAUAACAGCACUUCACUUGAUGAGUUUUUCGUCUCUUCUUUUGUUGCUGUCUUUGUUUUUGAGAAAACAAUGUUAUUGUAUUGUGUUUGUGUCUUGGUGUUAUAUAUGUGGCAUUGUAAUGACAUUGGUUUUGCUAAGUUUAAUGACACAAAUCUCUCGUGUUCUUUUAUUUUUCUCUUUGAAAUUCAUUUCAAACUUA